rnacentral:lncRNA from 1 species
GAAUCCUGAGAAAGACGCGCUCAAAGAACCCAGCGAACAAAGGAGAGGGUUGGAGCCCACGCAAAACAUGGGUGUGAUAAAGCCACACGCGACCUGAGCCCCCACCCUCAGUAACUACUCUCCAGCGCCCACCGGGAGGAGGGGUCCGGGGAAAGGAUUGGCAUCCUCUGCUUCUGCAGAAAACAUGGCUACCAACAGCUUCUGUAUCCACCUGCGGAGGAGACUGACUGCUCUGUUAUUCCCCCAGCAUCUGUGAAGAGGCUCUGACUGGCUAAAGUGAAGGAGUCUGUAGCUUUAGGGGAAGACAGAGCCACAAGAUGGAAGGAGCUUGGAUGUCUGAACUAUUCCAUGGAGAAAAGCUGCAGCCAACGAAGAACACCUGCAAUGGACUCUUAACCUGGGGGUGACGACAACCACUGAAAUAUGCUGCAUCUUAGUCCAGGGAUUUUUAAAGUGUGGUUCCUGGAAGAGCUGGAUCAGAGUCAUCUGUGUUGAUGGUUUAACAUAAAGAUUUUCGAGCCCCAAGACUCAAGUAGGACAAGGAAUUUGAAUUUUUAAGCAGCUCACCUGACUUGUCUGUCCUCUAAUGUCUGAAGACAUCUGACCUCUGCUCUUUCAGUAAAAGCAACAAUGGUUUUAUGAGCAUUGUCGUCACAUCUCUCCACUCAAGGGAUCCUUCUCAUUUCUCCCAGCUGAGGUCACCCACAGCUG